AUUGCAGACCAAGGCUGGAGAGGCUGCCAAGAAGAAGUGAGAUCCCCAUAGAUAUGAACUAAGUUUCAUGCAGCAAUACAAUCAAGCCCCUACUUAUUUACCUCCAUUUAUAUUGUUUGCCAUUGAACUUCAAAUGUGUAAUGCUGAGUUCAUUCUUCUUUUGAAUAUCCAUUUGGAUUUUUGUAUUAUGGACCUACUUGACCUGUUCCUAUGGAGAUUUUAACUUGAAAUGAAUUUUUGGGGUUGGAAAUUGAAAUCUGAAUCAGUACCAUGUUAUGUUACCUAAUGCUUUGAAAUUUGCUUCUACCAAUUAUUGUUCCUUUCUUUUUCUUUGAAAGAAAUAUUAAAAAUUAAGGUGAUGAUAGACUUAUGUGUAUGGUUUGCUUUUUGUUUUUUUAUCUUUUGCAAAAGAAUUGUUUUUAAUUGAUAACCAAAUGUAAUUAAGUAAUAUUUUUAAAAAUUGUAUUGGACACUUUAGAUAAUUUUUCUUGAAAAUGUUUCAUUAAUGUUGGUGUUAUAGUUCAUUAACACAAUCUCAAUUCUUACACAAAUAAUUGUUCUAACAUAAACACUCAGUAUAAAUUUAAAUAUGAAAUUAAAAAAAUGAAAAAAAUUAAUAAAAAUAUUUUUUCAAAACUAGUAAAAAUUAUUUUUUCUUUCGAUGAAAAUAAAUCAUAUGAAUGAUUAAAAAUUAAAGAGUAAAAUUAAUUUAUCCCUUAAAAUGGGAGUUUUUAUUUGGUUUUUAUCCUCAUAAGAUAAUUUUGGAGGUACAAUGUUGUUAAUUUGGCUCUUAUUCUUUUUUUUUUUCAGUUAAAUUUGACAUUCAAUUUUAAAAAAAAGUUAAAUUUAAUCAUAAACUUUUAAACAUAACAGCUUACAGGACAAUCCACUUGUGUUCCAUGCUAAUUUUUUUAUGAUUUUUUUUAUUUUUAAUUUUAAUUUUUAUAAAUUUUGAAUUAUUUUUUUAUGUGACAUAUAAGACAAAUGAUAUUAUGUUAGUAUGAUAAGCACAUGAACUGUUAUGCACAUUGUCAUGCCAACAACAUUAAAAAUUAAUGCUUUAGUCAUAAUUUUCAUUAGAAAAAUUGAUUUAACUAUUUUUUGAAAGGUUAAUGACCAAUAAUUGUCAAACUAAUAAAAAGUAUAAAUAUUGAAACCUAAAAUAAUAAAGAGUUGGUGAGUUUGAAUGUAGAAUUACAUGUAAAAGAAUAAUUGAUGUUAUAAUAGUGUAUCAAGCAGGCUUAUAAACCACGAAGGAGGGAAUAAUCCCAAGUUUUGCUGUAUCAGCCAACCACCCAUCACCCUUUGUGGUGUCAGAAGGAGUAAAGCUUCUAGUCUCCAUAUUAUAUACACCCACAUUUUUGUUUCUCUUCAACGCAUACGAACCAUUUGGAGCCAUUGAUGCAUAUAAAAAGGCUUCGUAGUCAUCUAUUAAAUAUAUGCAAUUUGGUUGACAUCCACAAAAAGCAGAACCCACCACAGAUAAUGAGCUGUUGUCACCUACAAACAAAGCACAAUUUUCUAUGCUUUUCAUCUCCCUCCAUUCCCAUCCUUCUGAAUCUAACUUCAGAUUCCAAAUUCCGACUCCUUUUGUGUAAUUAUAACCCCCAUGCCAAUGCCACCUAUUUAUUAUUUCAACUAGCAAUAGUUCCCCUGUAAGUGACUCCACAAGAUAUUUUGUUUCAAAAUUUUCUAGCUCAACCUAUGAUUUAUAGGCAAAUAUUUAAAAAAUGACCCAUCAACCUCAUUAAAAUAAAUAAUUUCACCCUUAUGAUCAACUGCACAAAAGUGAUCUUGGUAGUAUAUAAGAUCAUGAAGUACGCCCCAAUUAUGGUUAACAUAAGUCCAUUUUUUGUCUUUGCUUGGCUUAGUAUAUGCUACGUGAUGAUCGGCACCAAAUAUGGCCAUGACCAUGUAAUCGUCAGGGUUUGAUGUCGGAUUACCAGAAAGUACAACCUUGCAAAUGUGAUCAAAAUUACUACAUGGUGGAUCCAAUGGUGGAAGAGUAAUAUAAGUAUUUGGAUCACAACCAAUUUGUUUCCCGAGGACCAAACACAGUGGGUUGAGUAAACGAACAACUAAAUCGUCAUCCACGGUGACCAACCAUCCGUUGGAAGAGCCGACAAAUCGGUCGACAGAUGGUACUUGAAAUGGCAAGGGAAGAAGCUUGUUGUCUUUGAUGCUAUAUAGGUUCCAAACAUCUUGGGCAUUGAGAGGGACAAUGAGCAUGGGGUGCUUUAGGGACAACAAGUAGUUGAUGUUCUCCGUCGCAACAUUGUGCCACGCCGUGCAUGUUGCACCGAAUCGGAAAUAGUCUGACACUGAAGCCAACCUUUGUAAUAUCAAAUCAACAAGCUCAUUUGGUAGUUCUGCCCAAUCUGUAAGUAACAAAACCAAACAUUAUUCAAGUUACAAAGUCAGUUCUUUAAAAUAAUUAAUAGUUUAAGAAUACAAUAACUCACCCGAAUUCAUGCUUAUCUACUUUAAUGAAAACUACAAUAAUAUAUGCUUUCCACUGUAGAAAGAAUUUGGUUUUGUGAGAUAGCAGAUCAAGUUCUUAAUUAUGUGUUAAUGCAUAUACAUAUAUAUAAGUUGGAAAGAAGCGUAAUUAGAUCUAAACUUCAAAUCUCUAUUCAAUUAAGAUUCGUUGAAACUCAAUUCGAAUCUACAAACAAGAAUAAUUAGACCCAAACUCCAUUACAUUAUUAAAUUAAGAUUCAUUCAAACCUAAUUUGAAUUUAUAAAAUAUUAUUUGAAAUCCAACGAAAAUCCUUUUAGAAAUCCGAUUUAAUUAAAACAAAACCAAUUAGGAUUGAUCUUACAUAUAUAAUAAAAUUAAAUAUAAUAAUAUUAUAUUAUAUAAUUGUUUAAAUUUAAUUUUUAAUAAAAUCUAAAAUAUUAAAAUAAAAGUAAUAUAUUUUUAAAAAAUAAUAUAGACAAGUUUCAAACAGGUUUGAAUUAGAAUUUGUGUAAAAUUUUAGAAUUGAGUUAAUAUUUAGUUAAAUAAUUAUAAUUAUUUAUUUUAAUAAGGGCUGAUAUUAUCCUAAACUAUAACAAACAUGUCUACGUAAUCUUGAAAAGAAAACCAACCUCACAAAUCAAGUGUCGGUAAUAACAAAAUUAGCAAUUAAUUUAAAUAUUUUUGAGUUACAAUCACAGUGGUAAUUAUAAUAUGUAUACAUUAUUGAAAAUUUAAAUAUAAUAUUUAUAAUAAAAACUCGAAAAAUUAAAGUUUUAAACAUUGAGAAACUGCAGUAAUAAUUUCUUGUUUAAAUUAAAUCCACAGCAAGAUCUCCCACCCGCUAUUUCCACGCGCUUAUCCUCACGUUUGGAAGUCACACCCCUCGCUAAUCAUUCUAUUCAUGAUAGAUGACAUGGCAUCAACAUGAUAUUGUAUUUUGGUUAUUUUGGCGUAUUGCUUAAGACAAUAGCUAUUAUCUCAUGGGUUGAUACUUGUACUUUCAGUCGAGUUCGUAGUGUAGAAAUAAGUUAAGAGAAGCCAUUAAAACAAGCUGAAUUUCUUAUAUCAUGGGGAUCUUUACCUUUGUAUAAAGAAUGCUCCGUUGCGUCAGACAGGAAUGCAAUGCAUGCAACCUUUCUCUCUUUACCUCCUUUCCCUUCUUGCUUACACAAGUUGAGUGCAUGUGCUAAUGCACAUGCGCAGUUUGUGCAUUGAUUCUGAAGUUCUUUUCUUCCAAUGAUAGAAACGGACUUGAUACCAAGGUUGAAAAGUCUAGAAAGCAGAUGAAAGAAAGGAAAAACAGCGCUAAGAAAGUCAGAGGUGUUAAGAAGGUAAUUGGGGUGUUUGUUUUUUCGACUGUUCUUUCUUGAAUUUAUUUUGUUUAUUAUUUGUGACUUUGCCCACAUUGCAGACCAAGGCUGGAGAGGCUGCCAAGAAGAAGUGAGAUCCCCAUAGAUAUGAACCAAGUUUCAUGCAGCAAUAUAAGCAAGGCCUACUUAUUUACCUCCAUUUAUAUUGUUUGCCAUUGAACUUCAAAUGUGUAAUGCUGAGUUCAUUCUUCUUUUGAAUAUCCAUUUGGAUUUUUAUAUUAUGGACCUACUUUACCUGUUCCUAUGAAGAUUUUAACUUGAAAUGAAUUUUUGGGGUUGGAAAUUGAUAUCUGAGUCAGUGCCAUGUUAU
rnacentral:lncRNA from 1 species